GAUGAACGCUGGCGGCGUGCCUAAUACAUGCAAGUCGAGCGAACGGACGAGAAGCUUGCUUCUCUGAUGUUAGCGGCGGACGGGUGAGUAACACGUGGAUAACCUACCUAUAAGACUGGGAUAACUUCGGGAAACCGUAGCUAAUACCGGAUAAUAUUUUGAACCGCAUGGUUCAAAAGUGAAAGACGGUCUUGCCGUCACUUAUAGAUGGAUCCGCGCUGCAUUAGCUAGUUGGUAAGGUAACGGCUUACCAAGGCAACGAUGCAUAGCCGACCUGAGAGGGUGAUUGGCCACACGGGAACUGAGACACGGUCCAGACUCCUACGGGAGGAAGCAGUAGGGAAUCUUCCGCAAUGGGCGAAAGCCUGACGGAGCAACGCCGCGUGAGUGAUGAAGGUCUUCGGAUCGUAAAACUCUGUUAUUAGGGAAGAACAUAUGUGUAAGUAACUGUGCACAUCUUGACGGUACCUAAUCAGAAAGCCACGGCUAACUACGUG
rnacentral:rRNA from 1 species